rnacentral:rRNA from 1 species
UGCCAGCCGCCGCGGUAAUACUGAAGGUGCGAGCGUUAAUCGGAAUCACUGGGCGUAAAGCGCUCGUAGGUGGCUUUGUAAGUCAGAUGUGAAAGCCCACGGCUCAACCGUGGAAUUGCAUUUGAUACUGCAUCGCUAGAGUAUAGGAGAGGGAAGUGGAAUUUCUGGUGUAGGAGUGAAAUCCGUAGAUAUCGGGAAGAACACCGGAGGCGAAAGCGCCCUACUAGGCCGACACUGACACAAAGGGACGAAAGCUAGGGGAGCAAACGGGAUUAGAUA